rnacentral:lncRNA from 1 species
CCCCCCCUACCAGAUCAUGCUGGAUCCAUCCCUGCAAACGAGCGCUGGCGAAGGGACGUGCUGCAACUUUAGCGAGGAAGUAACGCAGCAGAAAAGUCCUAGCAGGCUAUAAAAUAGUCACGUGUAGGUUGGAAUGGAAUAGCACAAUAUAAUAUUUUCGGUUCUGUGACCACAGCCGAGACCACAGCCAACUCAAAUGUUUAAGGCUACGUUUAAACUGUACCGGAUGGUCCGGAUAGCUUUCCCUAGCGACGUGAAAAAAACACCUAUCCGCGUACCUUGUAGG